GGCCGGAAAGCAGGCUCGGCCUCACUGCGCCGGGUGCCUCGGCCGCGCUGGACUCGGCUCUUAGAGAGCGCUCUCCUCUCGCGCCAUCGCCGUCUCCACGGCCAGGGCCGGUCGCCGCGAGAAGGCACAGGACACGCAACCGGCCGGCUGCAAGCGGGUUCUGAUAACCGGAGAUCGCGGACUGGAGAUACACUUGGCUGGGGAAACCCCGUUUGGGGCGAAGUUGCAGGGAGAAUGGAAGGCCGACACUGAGAACCAGGGCUUUGCCCUUCAGCCCCCACCCCCUCAUCUGUUCCCACUCAGUAGGGGAAAAAAAUCUUUAAUGAGUCCACAACAAUAAAAAUAAAAAUAGUUCUUCUCAAAGGAAGUAACCCUCUUUCUCCCAUCACUUUGGGACACACUAAACUAAAUAGUAACCAGAUUGCUUGGUUGUCUGAGACCCUCUGCUAAACCUGAUGCCUCAGUAGCCACGGGAAGGAUGUGGACUUCUUCAGAUGUUUAAGGACCUUGGAGAUUUAAACUGUGAGUCAGAAAAGAGUCAACUGUAAGUUCAAGUUCAAGGCAUUACCUGUUCCUGUGCUUUAGGGAAGGGACGAAGAGCUUGGGGGAGGGGGGAACAGGUGCCUCUCCCAGCCAAGGAGAUAAAUUAACCCCCGCAUCCAUAGUGAUAGAAGGAGGUCUCUUGAUAUUUUAUUGAAGCCUCAGUGUCUCCUCUAGAGGGUGUCUUGAAAUGUGAUAAGUUGGCCAUGAUCUGCCAAUAGACCAUUUCUUAAGAACAAAUUCUAGGAGAUCUCCUGGGUUUUACCAAGAAAGACAGAUGUGCCUCCAGGGUAUUUCCCACUUGGACACAGAAAGCCCUCAAAUGGGGACCUGGCCUCCAACCCUGUGAAGGGCUUGAUAGCCAUUUUCAUCCUGGGUCCUCCAGCUGGCUCUUGCACCUGUGUGC
rnacentral:lncRNA from 1 species